ACUGUUGGUGUUGUAGGGUAUUCGGAUUCUUAGUUUGAUUGAUUUAGAUUUUACAAUUGAUGUGUUCGUUAAAGAUACAAUUUAGAUGUUAAUAGAAAUAAUUAUAUUAUUAUUUUUAAUAAUAUAUUGUUUUACUCUUUUUUUUUUUUUUUGGUUAAAAAUGAAUAUAAACAAUUAGGUAUAAGGGUAAUUCAUCAAACAUAAUUUUAUUUUAUUUUAAAAUAUUUAAAUUCCUAAAGUAGUUUUGAUAAUAGAAUUAUUUUCUUUUUAUUUUUAUUCUAUCCAAUAUAGCAAAAUAAUAUUUUCUAAAAUUUUUCCUUCUAAUCAAAUGCAUAUUGAAAAUUUAAUUUUUUUUUUUUUUUUUUUCUUUACUUAUGCACACCCGAAACUUAUUAUAAUCCAACUUCCUCACUUUUCAAAAUAAAAAAUUUAGAUGAUUCAAAUCCACGCAUAAAUAAUAAAAAAUAAAAAUAAAAUAAAAAAGUUCUCAAGAACAAAUUAAAAAAAUGGAGGGGAAUUGGGCCCACCAAGGUCAUACCACACCGGUACGUUUUGAUUGACUGCAAUUGAAUUGAAGAUGAGAGAGAAUUGAAGUGUGAGAAAUGGAGGAACACGAAGAGCCAUCGUCUCCAGGAUUCAGUCCAGUACAACUCAAAGAAUGCUUAGAGGAGGUGCUCAACUUCACACUCGCGUCUUCAAUCGACGAAACCCUACGAUUCGAUAUAGGCCUUUCAAAGGAGUACUGUCCUAACCUCCUCAAGAACGACCCUGCAAACCCCAAUUGCAAUCACACUGAUUUUUCUGAAGGAAUUCCUCAAUAUCCUCUAUGCAAGCCUCUAGCAUCAGCUUUGUACCAGUCUAUAUCUUCUGGAUCUUUCUGCAGGACAUAUAAAGAAAUGGAAUUGAUCCAUGAAGACAGUUCCAUGAAGCAGAAAGAAGCGGAAUCAAUUGGUUCAAGCAAAGGGGUCUGAAUUAGUAAAUGUGUUGAAAGCUAUAGACUUUGAACUUCAUGUUCAGGAGCCUUUCUUUUCCCAGCUCAAAGAUGGCCUCAAAACAACUGAAGGUGGACCUGCCAACCUACCCAAGUUUGAUUAUCAAUAUUGGAUCAGGAGCACUGCUUCUCUUCAACAAGUGCUUUGUGCUUCAAGUUCAGGAUGUCAUCAGGUAUGCUUCGUUUUCUGAGAUGUUGGAAGCUGAGAGUCUAACAAAAGUCCUUCCUGGAGUAAAAACCACAGAAGAAGGUGUGCGGAUUUACCGGAAGUUUUACACAGAAGAGAAGGAAAGGUCAAAUGGAGUCCUUGCAAUUCGUGUUACGAAGGCAGCUGUUCAGCUUUACAUUUCUUUGGCUAGCAUACUUUUGGGAUUGAGUUAUGAGGGUGUUCAGAGGCUUUUGGGUCUCACUGGUACAGCAGGAACAAUUCCAGAGGCGCUUCCUCCACCAAGAUCAACUGUGCUUUUGUCAUUUUUGUUGCCGCAUAAUCCAGAGGUUAAAGGUUGCAUCUUGACUGAUGGAGCUAGGGCCUUAGCUAAGCACAUCAACAGGAGCAGUGUUGGAUACUAGGAUUCCAAUAAAAACAGGCUUGCUGUUGAUGUCAUUAGUCGCUUAAUAGAUCAUUGUUGCUGGCAAAAUAUGCAUAUUGUCCCACCACAUGGGGUGGUCUUUGAGAUAAGGAUUGCUGAUGGUUAUGGUGCUCGGUGGUCUGAAGACGGAACAAAGUUCAUUGGAUUUCUUGAACCAUACAUGAUGGAAGGCCACUCAAGAGGAUGGAUGCACUGACUUUACUCCAGGAGAAAGUUACUUUUGGCCCUCUCAACUGUAAAAGUGUGCCUUCAGUAGGAAUUGCUCUAUUCUCACAUUGUCAUAACUAGAAGACAUUAAGUAUAAGCACGAGUCUCAACUCAAUUUAUUCAGGCUGCAUGUAUGCUCCUUCCUUUUAAAACUGAAACCAAACAUUCAAUGUACUGGCAGGAUGUCAGUCCUUGACCAAUGUACACCAUCACGAUACUCAGUUCUGUAGUUGUGGUGUCAGAAUUAUGAACUAAUCUCUUGUGAUUUAUAUAUAUUAAUUUUUCUGCUUGAAUCA